GAAGCGAAAAUGGCCGAAGGCACUCCGUUCGCGCCCCGCGCCGAGAGGCUGCCGGGAUCGCGGCGGACUCGGCGGGCGGGGCGGGCGGGAGCGGGGCGGGGCCCGGGGCAGGAUGGCGGCCCCGCGGCGAGGGAAAGCUUCCUCCACGGUGCUCUCGUCGCUCCCGCUGCAGAUGCUGCUCUGUUUGAGUGGAACGUACUACGCCCUGUAUUUCCUAGCUACGUUCCUGCUGCUCAUGUAUAAAAGUCAGGUUUUCACUUAUCCUCACAGUUGCCUGGUCCUCGACCUGACUCUGCUGUUUCUGAUGGGGAUUCUGGAAGCGAUUCGGUUAUACUUCGGGACCAUGGGCAACCUGAUGGAGGCUGAGGUGCCACUGGCCACCAGCCUGGUCCUCACCGUGGGCAGCGCCCUGCUGUCUGCCUACUUCCUGCUCUGGCAGACCCUGGUACUGCGUGCAGACUUGGCCCUCGGCGCCCCGCUCCUGGCAGUCCACGGCCUGGAGGCUGUCCUGCAGGUGGUGGCCAUUGCUGCCUUCGUCAGCUAGGUGCUGAGGAAAGGUGAUCUGGACGCUGCAGACCUGCGGGAGCUGGCGGCAGCGUUCUCUGGGGAUUUGUGCCAUUCACAGAUCCUCGAAUAAAGGAACGUUUAUACCUCCCUCAACUACUCCUGACUGAAGCCACCUGCCUCCAGGCUUCUCCCUCCACCCAGUUCAGGUCCAUCAGGGCCCAGGCCCAGCAGCUCUGGAGCAGCACUCCACCGGCCUGGGCCUCCUCGGGGUUGGCCUCAGAGAGGGGGGCCGAAUUAUCAUCCCACUGGUCUUGUCCUCAGGGCCGAGUGGGCGCGGGAGCGCCUCUCUGCCCCCUGACUCCUUGGGCUCAGCACCCGUGAGCACCUGUAACCCGAGGGCAGGCGAGGUGCCCUCCUGUGGAGCCCUCCUUGCGUCCAGCGGAGCCCCACCCCCUGCACCCCGCAUACGCUCCGGAAGCCUCCGAGGAUGCCACAGCCGCUCCCUGUGGCAAGAUGCCUUUCGGGUUUGCGACCCUCCCAAGGAUCUGGGCCAGGCCCUAGACACCCCCAUCGCUUUGGCCACAAGUCACUCCAUGUUGGAGGUAGCCACAGGCAGUCUGGGACUCGAGGCUCCCAGCAGCAUCCUUGAGGGGGUCAGUUCUCCUGCUCUGAAGAGCAGAGGGUGCCCACCUGGGCGGCUCCUUUCUCCCGUUUUGCCUGUUCAGGCUCAGCCUCCAGGAAGAGCGGGCGAGGGCAGGCUUCCCUUCCCCUCGGGGUUGUCAGCAGAUGGGGAGAAUCAGGAAGCCAGGGCUCAGGGGCAGGGCUGGGCCGGAGGAUGAAGCCACUCCCAGCGCCCCUGUGCAAGCUCGCCUGGAACCCCAGGCCGUGGGCAGGGAGGUCCCCACAGUGUGGGAAGGGGCAGUGCCACCGACAUUCCAGGACAGGGUGCCUCCUCCCCCGGGGCUUCCUGGCAAGCUGCCCAGCUCUCCUCGACCCUGGGACUCCGACGCCUCACACACGCUUUCCUGCUUCCCCCACCCAGAAACAGUAGGAGAGCCCUGGGGGUGCCUGCCUUCCUCUUCACUUCCUCUUCACCCAGCUUGGUGGGCAGCAGCAUCCUGGGGGGGUCAGCUCAGGAGGAGGAAAGACAACUACCGGCAGAGCUUGGGGCCUGGCCUGAGGCCAGGGGUUGCUGCCUGGAGCGCCUUCACACCGACUGCCUGGCCACUCAAGGACAGCCUGGGCCAUAGGCAUCCCAACCCCCGCCAAGGAACAACCCCACCCCUCACGGAGUGCCCACCUGGGCUGGGCAGCGUGAAGAAAGACUUAGGAGGACGCCUCUCCACCCCCCACCUGGCCGGCUCAGGGCACAGGACUGCAGGGUCUCUGGCCAAUGGCCCUACCUUGGAGACUCAUAGACUGAAACACGGCCCUGGCGCCCCCUCCAGACCAGAGCGGCACCAGGCGAAGAGAAUGGGCCUCGGUCCCCGAGUCCUGGGGCCCUGAGGCUGGGGGCACCUAGCAGGGGCACGUCUGCCCUCCCCGGGGAUCUGCAGGCAGCUCGGCCUGCCGGCAGGACCUCGAAACCUCAAGGUGCGCCCUCCUGCGCACCCCCGCGAGGGACGGGCUCGCGGCCCCGCCCGCGCGCCCACCGGCAGCCCCGCUCUCCGGGUGGGGUUUGCGCAGGUAGAAGGCGUGUGUGGUGGGGGCACUGUCCCGGGAGCCUCGGGGGCGGGGCAUUCGCGUGCCCCCGCCCCUGCCCAGGGCCAGCCCGCGCGAGGUGACUAACCUGCCGCUCAGGUUCCUCCCCGCGCCCCGCCCCGGCCCCUCCGCGCGCCCCUCCCUCCUUCCGAGCCAGGCACCGACAGACGGGCGGGCGGACGCGCGGACGAAGGGACCAGCGGACGGACGGCCAGGAGCGGGGCUGCGAGAAAAGCAGCCACCGGCGAGGACACCAUGAGCCAAGCAGGGUCCGUGAGCUGUUGCCCGGGUGCCGCCAAUGGCAGCCUGGGCCGGUCUGACGGUGUGCCCAAGAUGAGUGCCAA